AGGGUGCAAGCGCGGAGGCGCUUUCCAAGUGAACACCGGGAGGUGAAGUGCAGAGGCACGCUUGGAAGAAACUUGGGGGAGCAGUGCACGGGCACGACUCCAUUUUCAAGAAGAACACACAUGGGUUGCCAACCCACAGGAUUUGGGGCCGCGAUGUAAAACCCCGAGGGAUCAAACUCCGGGUUGUCGUUGGCGUUAUGAGGCAUCGAGGACGAUGCCUAGCUUGAGUGGGGGAGAAUGUUACGGGCUGCCUUCAUUGUGCCUUAGCGCCCGUAACCCCGCACGCCCCGAGCGGGCCAAACGAGCACCAGCCGCACAGGCAGUGCCAGCCGCACAGGCAGUGCCGGCCCACGGCAGUGUCCCCCCGCGGGCGGUGUCGGCCGUGCGGGCGACGUGCACCAACAUGGGUGCCGACGGACGGGAGCCCACAAUCAUCAUAGAUAUGUUCCAUUGCAUAUCUUAAGUGUAGCAAGGAAGUUUAGCAAGGAUCUGAGAUGAGCCCACGGGUCGUCGACGCACGACCCCCGUGCGAGCCUGAGUGUCAGUCCCGAGCGUUUUCGAGCUAUGGAUGGAAUCUUGGGAUUUCGGGUGAACACACCCUUCCUAGGAUGUUAUUGAAUGUGCUUACCAAGUUUGGCGUCACUUGAACAUCAUUUACCUAAGGGCUUGACUUAGCCAAGGAGCGAUGUCAGUGUCAAAGCUCCCUAAGGCCAUAUCUCGUUCCACGAGCAUGGGGAUGAGAUGAAACUUCAUGGAGGAGUGAAGGAAGUCAAGAGAAAGAGUUAGGAACAGACGGCGCCUCAUUUGGAGUUCGAAUCAUUGAGAAAGGCCAAUUGUGAUUCUCGGGCAGAAUCAUGUCCAGUGCUAAAACUUGGGCUUUUCUUUUUAAAGCAUAUAUAAGGGGGGCACAGGUGUCUCAGCUCAGCCAGCCUCCCCCGUGCGUGCCACCAUCAAGCCGCACCAAGUGAGCAACCUUGGGGGCCAACCUCAAGGGCUGCCUAGGCAUCCCCAAAGGGUCCUAGGUACCCAUACGAGUUACGCAACUCUAUGGGCGGCGCUCGGCCACAGGCCAGCGUUGGGCGCCCAACGAGGGCCGGAGGCUUGACGUAUGGACCGACCAUGCCCUGCGGGCUAUCCUUGAGAAUAAGAAAACCCUCCGUGCCGAUUGAACACUCGAGGCACCUCUCCUGAGAGCCUCGUGUGUUGACUUGUGAGCUUGGCUCAGGUUCGGGCCUAGCGAGCAAGGGUCCGUUGGCCUAGACGUGCAGCCAUAGGGCAACGCUGCACCAUGCAAGAUGGGAGUAUGCCUCGAGGGCCACAUUUAGCGAAGCCUCAUCAUAGGCAUACUACAAAGGACACACAUGACACAGGCCAAGGAUUCAGGAGUUGCCUUACUCGGGCGUCGCACCAGCCAGGUGCACCGGCACCAGGCCACCGACCCCAGUGUGUGUGUGCAGGCAAAGACCCAACAUAUGAAACAUGCCACGGGGGCAUACAAGCAAGGCAAG